AACCUGCCUUAUAGUGGGGGAGUAGCCUUUCGAAGGAAGAUUAAUACCGCAUAAGAUUGUAGUAUCGCAUGAUAUAGCAAUUAAAGGAGCAAUUCGCUAUAAGAUGGACCCGCGUCGCAUUAGCUAGUUGGUGAGGUAAUGGCUCACCAAGGCGACGAUGCGUAGCCGACCUGAGAGGGUGAUCGGCCACAUUGGGACUGAGACACGGCCCAGACUCCUACGGGAGGCAGCAUG
rnacentral:rRNA from 1 species